rnacentral:lncRNA from 1 species
AUUCACAAAUUAGUACAUUUAUAUUAUGUUAUCCUUCAAAGUGCAGUAGAAGUAAAACCCAGAGCAGUAUUUGAUUUUAUUUGAUUAUUUGUUAUUUUUUACCAUUCAAUACUAAUGUAGUUACAAUUUAUUGUCUUUUAGAGCUUACUUACGGUGCCUAUAGAAGAUAUAGGGACCAGCACCCUGGACCGAUGAGCAAUCGAUCAUUUUUGCGGUGGGUCCGGUUAGGAGGGAAUGAUGGGUGGAUACUCCAACCUGCAUCUUGUAAUGUGGUUGGAGAAGACUGAG